rnacentral:lncRNA from 1 species
GGGGCCCAUAUUCAGAGACUAACUCUGCCAGCUCUGUGGUGAGAGGGAGCUGCCACCCCUUGAUCUGUUCAUCUGUAAUGAGGGAGUCUUACAAGCUUCACUCACCACAGUGAACUGUUGUAAGAGUUAAAGGGAGGUAUCUACAAAGCAUGCUGGGAAAUGAAAAGGCCUUUCUGUAGAACAAAGCAACAUUUUCAAGAUUCAUGAUUUAAGCCACAUUUCACUCCUGGGCAAAUGGAACAGACCAACAGAUUCACGUGCUGAACACUUGGGAUGAAGCCACAAAUCCUGUAUGUUUCUCUAUUUCAUAGAAGAAGAAGGUUUUCAAGUACAAAGAGGCUUGCUGUCAAAGCAAUACAACCAGCUAGCUGACUGUUCAUUCUGCCAACCUGCCUUCCUUGCCGUGAUAUAAUAAAUCCUCAUGAAUUGCAAACUAGAAUAAACCCUUCAUUCCUUCUUUAAA